rnacentral:rRNA from 1 species
UACAGAGGUCUCAAGCGUUUGUUCGGAUUCAUUGGGCGUAAAGGGUGCGUAGGCGGCGCGGUAAGUCGGGUGUGAAAUCUUGGAGCUUAACUCCGAAACUGCAUUCGAUACUGCCGUGCUUGAGGACUGGAGAGGAGACUGGAAUUUACGGUGUAGCGGUGAAAUGCGUAGAUAUCGUAAGGAAGACCAGUGGCGAAGGCGGGGUCUCUGGACAGUUCCUGACGCUGAGGCACGAAGGCCAGGGGGAGCAAAACGGGGAUUAGAACUACCCUGUC